rnacentral:rRNA from 1 species
AUACGGAGGGUGCAAACGUUAAUCGGAAUUACUGGGCGUAAAGCGCGCGUAGGCGGCUUGAUAAGUCGGAUGUGAAAGCCCCGGGCUCAACCUGGGAAUUGCAUUCGAUACUGUCAGACUAGAGUAUGGUAGAGGGAAGUGGAAUUCCAGGUGUAGCGGUGAAAUGCGUAGAUAUCUGGAGGAACAUCAGUGGCGAAGGCGACUUCCUGGACCAAUACUGACGCUGAGGUGCGAAAGCGUGGGGAGCAAACAGGAUUAGAAACCCCAGUAGUCC